rnacentral:tRNA from 1 species
CGGGGCGUAGCGCAGCCUGGUAGCGCGCUUGGUUCGGGACUAAGAGGUCCCGGGUUCAAAUCCCGGCGCCCCGA